GGGCACUCCAUGGACAAUCCAGGAGCUGGGCUGGCUGGGCUGGGGAAGAGGCCAGAUCCCCUUCUGAGGACCUCAGGGCAGGCUUAUGAAUGCAGGUGGGCUUGACUGAUCCUGAAGGCACCAGCAACUGACCCACAUGGUGCACACGUAUUUGAGAUGAAAACAAGCUGGAACCUGAAAGUACACUUCUCAAGGAUGACGGCCAGAGGUGGACAUGGUGUUGAAUCUUCCUGGAUUAUAUGGAUAAGGAUGACAUUCUAGGGUGAGCAGAGAAUGUGGAAGAAUCUAGAUUCCCAACACUGACAAACUGCCCUACUAGCCCUGGACUACCAGACAGAGACAGAAGCAAGAGGAAGACUCCAUGUGGGAGGCACAGGGGACUUAUUUGCUCUCAGGCACCCAGAGCACUGAAUUGAAGAUUCUGGCAUUUGUCCAUCUGAAGUGGAAAUAGUUCCUCCAAAUGUAACUUUACCUUAUCCGCACAUUUGCAUGACUGCUACAGGGAAUGUCAUUUGGGAAGACCUUUUAGAGAAUGGGUACAGCAGUGGGUAGAGCAAUUUUUCUCCAUAUGUCAGGUAGGGACACUCAAGACUUUGGCCAAACAUGUUCAGAAGAAAUCAGGGGCUUGCUGCAAAUCCAGAAAGCUGCUGUGAGAUCUUACAGUUGGUGUGGGGGAGGUAUUAAAAAACACUAAUAUUUCUGGAAUUGAAUGCAUGAAAGAUACCAUAACUUAGAACAAGUUGCUUUUGAAAUUAAAUACAUCUCUUGCAGAUGGCCUGACCUGGCUUUUUGGUUGCCUCUUUUCAAAAUAGUCCUCAUUAAAGGAUGAGUCAUUGCAUUGGC